UAUCAGAGGGGUAGCUGUGUUAAUCUGUAUCCACAAAAACAACAAGGAGUCCAGUGGCACCUUAAAGACUAACAGAUUUAUUGGGGCUUCAGCGUUCAUGGGUAAAAAACAGCAUCUGAGAAUCUGUUAGUCUUUAAGCUGCCAACAGACUCCUCAUUUUUAUAUAAU